CAGCACCUCAAGUGGUCAGGAUGAUUAUUGGGCCUAAAGCAUCCGUAGCCGGCUCUGUAAGUUUUCGGUUAAAUCUGUAUGCUCAACAUACAGGCUGCCGGGAAUACUGCAAAGCUAGGGAGUGGGAGAGGUAGACGGUACUCGGUAGGAAGGGGUAAAAUCCUUUGAUCUAUUGAUGACCACCUGUGGCGAAGGCGGUCUACAAGAACACGUCCGACGGUGAGGGAUGAAAGCUGGGGGAGCAAACCGGAUUAGAUACCCGAGUAGUCC
rnacentral:rRNA from 1 species